rnacentral:rRNA from 1 species
UACAGAGGGCGCAAGCGUUAAUCGGAAUUACUGGGCGUAAAGCGUGCGCAGACGGUUGCGUAAGUCAGAUGUGAAAGCCCCGGGCUCAACCUGGGAAUUGCAUUUGAGACUGCGUAGCUAGGGUGCGGAAGAGGGAAGCGGAAUUUCCGGUGUAGCGGUGAAAUGCGUAGAUAUCGGAAGGAACACCAGUGGCGAAAGCGGCUUCCUGGUCCAGCACCGACGUUCAGGCACGAAAGCGUGGGGAGCAAACGGG